UACGAAGGGGGCUAGCGUUGUUCGGAAUCACUGGGCGUAAAGGGCGCGUAGGCGGCCGAUCAAGUCGGGGGUGAAAGCCUGUGGCUCAACCACAGAAUUGCCUUCGAUACUGUUUGGCUUGAGACCGGAAGAGGUUAGUGGAACUGCGAGUGUAGAGGUGAAAUUCGUAGAUAUUCGCAAGAACACCAGUGGCGAAGGCGGCUGACUGGUCCG
rnacentral:rRNA from 1 species